rnacentral:rRNA from 1 species
UAUCAGUCAUGCAUAGCAUAUCAAUAAGCGGAGGAAAAGUAACUAACAAGGAUUCCCUUAGUAACGGCGAGUGAAGCGGGAAGAGCUCAAAUUUGAAAUCUUCAAGGUUCUACCUUGACGAAUUGUAGUUUAUAGAAGUGUUUUCUGUUAGUAGGAGUGGCAAAAGUUCUUUGGAAUAGGACAUCAUAGAGGGUGAGAAUCCCGUAUUUGGUCAUUCCUUCCUAGCGUUGUGAUACACUUUCAACGAGUCGGAUUGUUUGGGAAUGCAGUCCAGAAUGGGUGGUAAAUUUCAUCUAAAGCUAAAUAUUGGCGAGAGACCGAUAGCGAACAAGUACCGUGAGGGAAAGAUGAAAAGAACUUUGAAAAGAGAGUUAAACAGUACGUGAAAUUGUCAAAAGGGAAGCGUUUGACACCAGUGUUGUUUUUCCGAAAAUCAAUUACGAAUGUUUUGUUUUUGAGAAGUUAUGACUUCAUAGGCUUGCUCCUUUCUUUACGAAACUUUCUUAAUGCACUUUUCGGUUAACAAGUCAACAUCAAUUUCUUUUGUUGUAAAAGGGUAUGAGGAAGGUGGCUUUCUUUUCGGAGAAAGUGUUUAUAGCCUUGUACCUCUGCAAUCGGAGAGAUUGAGGUCUGCAGCGUAGAUCCUUCGGGGUUAGAUACAUUUGUGCUAAGUUAUAGCUUUUCAUAGACAACUUGUUGACUAUGUUUAGUCUUGUAGCUUACUCGCUUAUGCUAUUUUACCUACGCUUAGGAUGUUGAUCUCUCACAGUCGAGC